rnacentral:rRNA from 1 species
CUACGGGGGGCUCCAGUAAGGAAUAUUGCGCAAUGGAGGCAACUCUGACGCAGCCAUGCCGCGUGCAGGAAGAAGGCCUUAUGGGUCGUAAACUGCUUUUAUUUAGGAAUAAACCCCCGAACGUGUUCGGGGCUGAAGGUACUAAACGAAUAAGCACCGGCUAACUCCGUGCCAGCAGCCGCGGUAAUACGGAGGGUGCAAGCGUUAUCCGGAUUUAUUGGGUUUAAAGGGUGCGCAGGCGGGCUAUUAAGUCAGUGGUGAAAUCCCGGGGCUCAACUCCGGAACUGCCAUUGAUACUGAUAGUCUUGAGUUUGGUUGAAGUGGGCGGAAUGUAGCAUGUAGCGGUGAAAUGCAUAGAUAUGCUACAGAACACCAAUCGCGAAGGCAGCUUACUAAGCCAAAACUGACGCUCAUGCACGAAAGCGUGGGGAUCAAACAGGAUUAGAUACCCGUGUAGUC